CAGAGUCUCGCUCUGUCACCCAGGCUGGACUGCAGUGGCGCGAUCUUGGCUCACUGCAACCUCCGCCUCCUGGAUUCAAGCGAUUCUUCUGCCUCAGCCUCCCGAGUAGCUAGGAUUACAGGCAUGUGUCACCACGCCCGGCUAAUUUUGUAUUUUUAGUAGAGACGGGGUUUCUCCGUGUUGGUCAGGCUGGUCUCGAACUCCUGACCUCAGGUGAUCUGCCCGCCUCGGCCUCCCAAAGUGCUGAGAUUACAGACGUGAGCCACCGUGCCUGGCGGAAUUUUCAUAUUUUAAGUCCCCCACCCUUGGACAUUUAGAUUUUUUCCAUCUUUCUGUAUUUGCAGAUAUGCUUCUACGUACACCUUUAUUCAUUUGCUUGAACAUUUCCCUGAGAAAAACUAGAAAUGGAAUUGCCAGAUUACUUUGUGUACAUGUUUCCAAACUGUCCUCCAGAAAGAAUGUAAUGCUUUGAACUUCCACUUGAGAAUCAAAUGUUUACCUUCCUCUGUUCCUCCAGAUUUGGACAUUUACAGUGUUCAGCCGUUGUUGUGGCAUUCCAAUUCAAUUGGGAAACAGCUUGAUGUAGCGUCCCCAUAAGGUCCACAGUAAUUAAAUUUUUUUUUUUUUUUUUUGGUGCGGUAGUGCAAUUUCAUGGCUCACUGCAACCUCCACCUCCCAGGUUCAAGCGAUCCUCCCAUCUCAGCCUCCCUAGUAGCUGGGAUUACAGGUGCACGCCACCACACCAGGCUAAUUUUUGUAUUUUUAGUAGAGAUGGGGUUUCACCAGGUUAGCCAGGCUGGUCUUGAACUCCAGACCUCAAGGGAUCCGCCUGCCUCAGCUUUCCAAAGUGCUGGGAUUACAGGUGGAGACUGGACCUCAGAAGAGGGAGUGGGUGCCCCGAGAACUCACAGCUAGCGGACAGUGGAAAGGGCAGGAGCCGGACCAAGGUGAGGACAGUGGAACUGAAGGCCGCUGGUUACCUCUCCUGCCCUCCGCUGGCCACAGUGGAGAAGACAGCCCCUCCCUCCUGCUCUGACCUGACAGUGUUCAUCCAUCGCCCUGUAUUAGCGAAGAACAACAUCAAGCUGGCUAGCAAGGAACUGUAUACAGGGUCCAGCUGGGUAUCACACUGGAUCUCACCCAAAGCUUAGAUGUGAUCCAGCUCAGUAUCACAAAGCAGAACGAAAAGGAUGUGUUUGGGCUGAGAGGCCAUACAUUGGCUCCGGCAUGACGGGUGACUUCUUCCGAGUCUGGCUUCUGCAGCACACAGGGCUUCGCCAGCACCCAGCUCCUGCAGCAUGGGCAGCUCCUGUGACAGCAGGCGCCCGCAGCCUGCAAAGCGUCUCCAGUGCCGCCGCCUCAGUGAACCUCAACCAGCGGCACCUAGCAGCUUUCUCUGCCACCCUCUUCAGGUAGUUCUGUAGCAGCGCGUUUCUCAUGAGACACUUCCCUGUGAGCAGCUUUUUCUACCCUUGAGGAUGGAUUUCCAGCAAAUUCUGCCCAUGUGGUACCACAGCCACUUCUCUGCCAUUCAGUGAAACUGCCGUUGUGCCCUCUUCAAGGUCUGGAUCUAAGCCCAGGGACCAGGAAACCUCUUGCUUGAGUGCUGGAACUCAGGCCAGAAGGCAGGAAGCCCGCCUGACCCCAUGUCUCAGGCUGCCAGAGGAGCGUGCGAUGAGGAAGGCUGGACUGUCUUCACAGGACACCAGGGAGAAGCCUCAAGCCACUGCCCCCUGACAAGUCGCAGCUCUCCAGCCUGUCUCCUCACUCCCCUCCCCUCCACAUGGGGGGGUUGGGGUGGGGGCGGGGAAGGUUCGGGGCAGGGGUCAUUUCAGCUACUGGGCACCAGUCUCCUCCUCAUGUUUAUCCUGUUCCCUUUGCUUGAAAGGUUCGUACUCCAGAUCCUUGUAAAACCGCUUCUCACCCUUUGAGUCUCAGCUUAAAUGUCCCCUCCUUGGAGGGGUCUUCCCUGACAAUGAAGCUCCGACCGUCCUCUCCUGUUUUACCCAGUUCAUUUCUUUCUGGCAUUUGUAACUACUUGAAGUUAAAGUGUGUGCCAUGUAUGUGUCUGUCAGUUUCCCCCACCACACUGGAACCCCAUGAGGGCAAGGGUCUUGUCUGGAAUCUUCCUCACUUACAACUCAACAUUUAGCAAAG
rnacentral:lncRNA from 1 species